CGGGAGGCAGCAGUAGGGAAUCUUCCACAAUGGACGAAAGUCUGAUGGAGCAACGCCGCGUGAGUGAUGAAGGUUUUCGGAUCGUAAAACUCUGUUGUUAAAGAAGAACAAGUGUUAGAGUAACUGUUAACACUUUGACGGUAUUUAACCAGAAAGCCACGGCUAACUACGUGCCAGCAGCCGCGGUAAUACGUAGGUGGCAAGCGUUGUCCGGAUUUAUUGGGCGUAAAGCGAGCGCAGGCGGUUUUGUAAGUCUGCUGUGAAAGCCCUCAGCUCAACUGAGGAAGUGCAGUGGAAACUACAAAACUUGAGUACAGAAGAGGAAAGUGGAACUCCAUGUGUAGCGGUGAAAUGCGUAGAUAUAUGGAAGAACACCAGUGGCGAAGGCGGCUUUCUGGUCUGUUACUGACGCUGAGGCUCGAAAGCAUGGGUAGCGAACAGGAUUAGAUACCCUGGUAGUCCAUGCCCGUAAACGAUGAAUACUAGGUGUUGGAGGGUUUCCGCCCUUCAGUGCCGCAGCUAACGCAUUAAGUAUUCCGCCUGGGGAGUACGACCGCAAGGUUGAAACUCAAAGGAAUUGACGGGGGCCCGCACAAGUGGUGGAGCAUGUGGUUUAAUUCGAUGCUACGCGAAGAACCUUACCAGCUCUUGACAUCUUCUGCCAACCCAAGAGAUUGGGCGUUCCCUUCGGGGACAGAAUGACAGGUGGUGCAUGGUUGUCGUCAGCUCGUGUCGUGAGAUGUUGGGUUAAGUCCCGCAACGAGCGCAACCCUUAUUAUUAGUUGCCAGCAUUUAGUUGGGCACUCUAGUGAGACUGCCGGUGAUAAACCGGAGGAAGGUGGGGACGACGUCAAAUCAUCAUGCCCCUUAUGAGCUGGGCUACACACGUGCUACAAUGGAUGGUACAACGAGUCGCGAAACCGCGAGGUCAAGCUAAUCUCUUAAAGCCAUUCUCAGUUCGGAUUGCAGGCUGCAACUCGCCUGCAUGAAGUUGGAAUCACUAGUAAUCGUGGAUCAGCAUGCCA
rnacentral:rRNA from 2 species